GACGAACGCUGGCGGCGUGCUUAACACAUGCAAGUCGAACGGAAAGGCCCUGCUUUUGUGGGGUGCUCGAGUGGCGAACGGGUGAGUAACACGUGAGUAACCUGCCCUUGACUUUGGGAUAACUUCAGGAAACUGGGGCUAAUACCGGAUAGGAGCUCCUGCUGCAUGGUGGGGGUUGGAAAGUUUCGGCGGUUGGGGAUGGACUCGCGGCUUAUCAGCUUGUUGGUGGGGUAGUGGCUUACCAAGGCUUUGACGGGUAGCCGGCCUGAGAGGGUGACCGGCCACAUUGGGACUGAGAUACGGCCCAGACUCCACGGGAGGCAGCAGUGGGGAAUAUUGCACAAUGGGCGGAAGCCUGAUGCAGCAACGCCGCGUGCGGGAUGACGGCCUUCGGGUUGUAAACCGCUUUCGCCUGUGACGAAGCGUGAGUGACGGUAAUGGGUAAAGAAGCACCGGCUAACUACG
rnacentral:rRNA from 1 species